rnacentral:rRNA from 1 species
CCCUUAGACGUUCUGGGCCGCACGCGCGCUACACUGACGAAUUCAACGAGUUUAUAACCUUUGCUGGGAGGCAUGGGUAAUCUUGUGAACGUUCGUCGUGAUGGGGAUAGAUUAUUGCAAUUGUUAAUCUUCAACGAGGAAUUCCUAGUAAACGCAAGUCAUCAGCUUGCAUUGAUUACGUCCCUGCCCUUUGUACACACCGCCCGUCGCACCUACCGAUUGAAUGGUCCGGUGAAUUCUUCGGACUGCGGCUUUGACUCGAUUUCGGUCGAGGCGUUGCUGCGGGAAGUUGAUUAAACCUUACCAUUUAGAGGAAGGUGAAGUCGUAACA